CAGAAAGACCCUAUGAAGCUUUACUGUAACCUGAAAUUGAAAUUGGACUUUAGUCGCGCAGUAUAGGUGGGAGGCGUUGAAAGUAUUCUUGCGGGAAUACCUGAGCUAUCAGUGAGAUACCACUCUUCUAAUGUUAGAUUUCUAACUUUGAACCAUUAUCUGGUCAAAGAACAGUUUCAGGCGGGCAGUUUGACUGGGGCGGUCGCCUCCCAAAUGGUAACGGAGGCGUACAAAGGUUUCCUCUGAACGGGUAGAAAUCGUAUCUAGAGUGUAAAGGCAUAAGGAAGCUUGACUGUGAGACCUACAAGUCGAACAGGGACGAAAGUCGGUCUUAGUGAUCUGACGGUACUGAGUGGAAAGGCCGUCACUCAACGGAUAAAAGUUACUCUAGGGAUAACAGGCUGA
rnacentral:rRNA from 1 species